rnacentral:miRNA from 1 species
AUCAAACCUGAGAAGAGGCGA